CCUCAACUUGAAAUUUCUUGAAUACUGCAUGUGUGUAGACCCCUGAAACACUCUUUUCCAAAGGCGAUGGAGAUUUUAAUGUAGGUUGUUUAUUCCAUGUAUCAGAAUCUGCUUUUGCUUCCUCUUCAUACCUGUCUUGUAGAAUUGCUUCAUACUGUUUCACAAACUCUUGCACAGUGGUUUUCUUAUGCACAUACUUAUCAAAGUAGGAGUUUAGACUCUCAGACCGCAGAACGGUUGACAUGCCAGCCAAAAUAGCAUCCCUCAUGUAGAUUGGCACCCACAGCUCUCGAUCUUCAAACAAUGAUUGCAUUACAUCAUUCUCUCUAAGCUCAAAUCUAUCAAGAAUUUUCAACCAUCUUUUUACAAACUCAUCAUUUGUCCAUGACCUGAAGAUGCAUUUUUCAAAUUUUGCCAUAAAAUUUUCAUGCCGUUUAAUUACUUGACUCAGAUUUUCAGACACCUUCCCCAACAUGUUCCACAAAAAGAAAUAAUGAUGAGCAUUUGGAAAGACCUCAGAAAUGACCGAUUUCAAGGCUUUAUCUUGGUCAGUUAUUAUAACUUUGGGGGCUUGCCCACCCAUUGCUCUCAGCCAAGUCCGCAUUAACCAAGAAUAGGUUGUUGCACUUUCUUCUGAUAGCAGAGCACAUCCAAGUAACAUGAAUUGACAGUGUUGGUUCACUCCAACAAAAAGAGUAAGAGGCAUCUUAUAUUUGUUCCUAACAUAGGUAGCAUCAAAAGAGACAACAUCACAGAAAUUAACAUAGUCAUGCCUACUUUUGGCAUCAACCCAAAACAAAUUCUUCAGAAGUAGAUCCUCACCCAGUUCAAUGGCAUAAAAGAAGUUGGAAUUCAAACUCUGCAUCUGUGUAAAAAAAUCAAGUAAAAUUUUGGCAUCUGCAGCUUCUAGCGCCAAAUUCCGACCCUUAUCAAAUGGAUUUUUGGGGUCAUUCUUCAAACCAAUAACAUUUUUAUAUUCAGCAAAUUGUCUAGCCAUUGCAGCAUACAUCUUUCUGGUUUGUUCACUCACAGCUUGGGCAGGUAAAAGCUCAUGGUUGUGCUCCUUAACAAAACUAUGGAUAACCCAUUUUCCAUCUGGUCUUCUCUUAACAUGCAUGCUUGCUUUGCAGUCUGUCUUUGAACAUGAUCGCCGGCCAGUACCAUUUUCAGGGUCUUGCUUGUUUUGUCUGGCACGUGGUCGAUUAAAGGACUUGUCAUACUCUCGCUUGGUACCAUACCUAGAACAAGCAAACUUUGCAUCAAUGAAUUCCCUUGAUGUUUUUGAACGGCGGCUGUUUUGUAUUGCUGUGUUAAAUCCCAUAGACCGAGCAUAUUCUUGAUAAAAAGAAUAUGCUGCCCCAUGUGAUUCAAAUUCCAUACCAGAAAGUGGCUCAAGAUUAGCUUCUUCUUUGAAUUCUGCUGUUGGAGAACUCAUGGCCCCACCUUCUAUGGCAUGUACCUCUUCUGCAACAUUGACAAUAUUUCCAGUUACUACAUCUCCAUUAUGUAGCUUGUCUUCACUCAACAUAUUGUCAAUUCCAUUUGGUUCUUCGUUGUCUUUGUCAUGCUCACCAGAAGGCAACCUAAGAUCAAUGUCCAUGACAAUAAUUUUUACCUUUUGACAAACACCACUAUCAAGCACCUUAGCUACAGAUUAGCCACUAAAAUUGUCGCCGGAAAUUGGAAGCAGGUGUCGUUUUGGGAUGAGAAAAUUGUUGCAGCUUGCCGUAGAAGAGAAAAAAUUGUUGCUGGAUAUGAGAAAAUUUUGUCCUGUUGGGGAGGGUUGAGAAACGAGGGUCGCGGGGAGGGGGGGCGUGAGACAGACAAG
rnacentral:misc_RNA from 1 species